rnacentral:rRNA from 1 species
UGGGGAAUAUUGCACAAUGGGCGCAAGCCUGAUGCAGCAACGCCGCGUGAACGAUGAAGGUCUUCGGAUCGUAAAGUUCUGUUGCAGGGGAAGAUAAUGACGGUACCCUGUGAGGAAGCCCCGGCUAACUACGUGCCAGCAGCCGCGGUAAUACGUAGGGGGCUAGCGUUAUCCGGAUUUACUGGGCGUAAAGGGUGCGUAGGUGGUCUUUCAAGUCGGUGGUUAAAGGCUACGGCUCAACCGUAGUUAGCCUCCGAAACUGGAAGACUUGAGUGCUGGAAAGGAACGUGGAAUUCCCAGUGUAGCGGUGAAAUGCGUAGAUAUUGGGAGGAACACCAGUAGCGAAGGCGGCUUUCUGGACUGCAACUGACACUGAGGCACGAAAGCGUGGGUAGCAAACAGG